AUGAACGCUAGCUACAGGCUUAACACAUGCAAGUCGAGGGGCAGCAUUUUAGUUUGCUUGCAAACUGAAGAUGGCGACCGGCGCACGGGUGAGUAACACGUAUCCAACCUGCCGAUAACUCCGGAAUAGCCUUUCGAAAGAAAGAUUAAUACCGGAUAGCAUACGAAUAUCGCAUGAUAUUUUUAUUAAAGAAUUUCGGUUAUCGAUGGGGAUGCGUUCCAUUAGUUUGUUGGCGGGGUAACGGCCCACCAAGACUACGAUGGAUAGGGGUUCUGAGAGGAAGGUCCCCCACAUUGGAACUGAGACACGGUCCAAACUCCUACGGGAGGCAGCAGUGAGGAAUAUUGGUCAAUGGGCGAGAGCCUGAACCAGCCAAGUAGCGUGAAGGAUGAAGGCUCUAUGGGUCGUAAACUUCUUUUAUAUGGGAAUAAAGUUUUCCACGUGUGGAAUUUUGUAUGUACCAUAUGAAUAAGGAUCGGCUAACUCCGUGCCAGCAGCCGCGGUAAUACGGAGGAUCCGAGCGUUAUCCGGAUUUAUUGGGUUUAAAGGGAGCGUAGGUGGAUUGUUAAGUCAGUUGUGAAAGUUUGCGGCUCAACCGUAAAAUUGCAGUUGAAACUGGCAGUCUUGAGUACAGUAGAGGUGGGCGGAAUUCGUGGUGUAGCGGUGAAAUGCUUAGAUAUCACGAAGAACUCCGAUUGCGAAGGCAGCUCACUAGACUGUCACUGACACUGAUGCUCGAAAGUGUGGGUAUCAAACAGGAUUAGAUACCCUGGUAGUCCACACAGUAAACGAUGAAUACUCGCUGUUUGCGAUAUACAGUAAGCGGCCAAGCGAAAGCAUUAAGUAUUCCACCUGGGGAGUACGCCGGCAACGGUGAAACUCAAAGGAAUUGACGGGGGCCCGCACAAGCGGAGGAACAUGUGGUUUAAUUCGAUGAUACGCGAGGAACCUUACCCGGGCUUAAAUUGCAACAGAAUAUAUUGGAAACAGUAUAGCCGUAAGGCUGUUGUGAAGGUGCUGCAUGGUUGUCGUCAGCUCGUGCCGUGAGGUGUCGGCUUAAGUGCCAUAACGAGCGCAACCCUUAUCUUUAGUUACUAACAGGUCAUGCUGGGGACUCUAGAGAGACUGCCGUCGUAAGAUGUGAGGAAGGUGGGGAUGACGUCAAAUCAGCACGGCCCUUACGUCCGGGGCUACACACGUGUUACAAUGGGGGGUACAGAAGGCGGCUACCUGGUGACAGGAUGCUAAUCCCAAAAACCUCUCUCAGUUCGGAUCGAAGUCUGCAACCCGACUUCGUGAAGCUGGAUUCGCUAGUAAUCGCGCAUCAGCCAUGGCGCGGUGAAUACGUUCCCGGGCCUUGUACACACCGCCCGUCAAGCCAUGAAAGCCGGGGGUACCUGAAGUACGUAACCGCAAGGAGCGUCCUAGGGUAAAACUGGUAAUUGGGGCU
rnacentral:rRNA from 1 species